UACGUAGGGGGGCAAGCGUUGUCCGGAUUUAUUGGGCGUAAAGAGCGUGUAGGCGGCCUGACAGGUCUGCUGUGAAAACUCGAGGCUCAACCUCGAGAUGUCGGCGGAAACCGUCUGGCUAGAGUCCGGAAGAGGAGAGUGGAAUUCCUGGUGUAGCGGUGAAAUGCGCAGAUAUCAGGAGGAACACCGGUGGCGAAGGCGGCAUCCUGGACCCGGCA
rnacentral:rRNA from 1 species